GAACCUUUGGCACAGUGGUAGCGCGUGAGAUUCCAGAAGUCGGUGCUAUUCCGGUUCUAGGUAAAUCCUCAAGGUCGUCCGUUCAAUCCGGGCAAGGUUCA